rnacentral:lncRNA from 1 species
GGGCCAGGCACCUGUAAUCCCAGCUGCUCAGGAGCUGAGGCAGGAGAAUCCCUUGAACCAGGGAGGCGGAGGUUGUAGUGAGCUGAGAUUGCAUCACUGCACUCCAGCCUGGGUGAUAAGGGCCAAACUCUGUCUCGAAAACAAAACAAAACAACAACAACAAAAAAAAACACAUUCAGAAUAUUCUUUCAAAUGGACGAAGCCCGACUCAUCUAACCAACGCCCGCUUCUUGGGCCCUCAGGUUGUUUCCUGGUUUUCUCCGAUUAUAAACAACACUGCUCUGAACAUCCUCAUGGUGCGGUCUUUGCUCAUGUGCGGGUUAUUUUGCCAGUUCUGGUUCCUGGAAAGAGAACAGCUGGGCAGAGAACGUACACACUUUUGGGACUCGUAAUGCCUCUCCUGGGAAAGGCAGGGCCCGUCUUCUGCUCCCCCAGCAGUGUGGGGAACGGUGCCCUCUCCCUUGCUGGGCAGCAAGCGCCUCUUCCCAGUGCUGAUUGGAUCUUGGUGCCUCUCGCCCUCAGCUGCACAGAAGCUCUGCCGCCUCUUGGGACUGGGGGUGACGGAUUUCUCCCGAGCCUUGCUCACGCCUCGCAUCAAAGUUGGCCGAGACUACGUGCAGAAAGCCCAGACGAAGGAACAGGUAGGCAGGGCUGGCAGUGGGCAGGCACAGGAAGAGCCAGGCACCCUGGCCCUGGGUCUUUAAACCGCGUAUGCCAUUUUUCCCACCACGCAACAGACUUUUGCUGAGUGCCCACUCCGUUACCGAUCCUGGUCUAGGUGCCAGGAAUAAAAGCAGUCGUCAAGACAAAUACCAGGCCCUCAGGGACCUCAAGUGAUAGUAAGGAAAUGGAUAAUAAAAGUUAAACGGGAUGUGGCUGAGAGUGGUGGCUCACGCCUGUAAUCCCAGCACUGUGGGAGGCCAAGGUGGGAGGAUUGCUUGAGCGCGGGAGUUUGACGCUGCAGUGAGCCGUGAUUGCACUACUGCACUCCAGCCUGGGUGACAGAGUGAGACUGUCUCUAAAAAAAUUAAAGUUAAAAAAUUUAACAAUUUGAAAAAACAGGAUAUAAAUGCAACAUGGUAUUCUAGAAAAACAGAAAACAAAAGCUCAGGAUGCUUUUAGAUGGUGAGAGCACCUAUGAAGGGGAGGUGUGGUUGGUCAGGAAAGUUCUCUCUAAGGACAUAACAUUCGAGGUGAGACCUAGACGGUUUGAGGCAGACGGAACCGCAAGUGUAAAGGCCCUGGGGGUGGAGCAGGCUUGGGGAGUUGGGAGCAUUAAGCGGGUCAGUGAGGCCGGGUGUGGUGGCUCAUGCCUGUAAUCCCAGCACUUUGGGAGGCCAAAGAGGACAGAUUGAGCUCAGGACAGAUUGAGUUCAAGACCAGCCUGGGCAACAUGGUGAAACUCCAUCUCUACUAAAAUACAAAAAUUAGCUGGGCGUGUGGCACACGCCUGUAGUCCCAGCUACUCGAGAGGCUGAGACACGAGAAUCACUUGAACCUAGGAGGCAGAGGUUGCAGUGAGCUGAGAUCAUGCCACUGCACUCCAGCCUGGGUGACAGAGCGAG